rnacentral:rRNA from 1 species
CCUACGGGAGGCAGCAGUGAGGAAUAUUGGUCAAUGGACGAGAGUCUGAACCAGCCAAGUAGCGUGAAGGAUGACUGCCCUAUGGGUUGUAAACUUCUUUUAUAUGGGAAUAAAACGUUCCACGUGUGGGAUUUUGUAUGUACCAUAUGAAUAAGGAUCGGCUACCUCCGUGCCAGCAGCCGCGGUAAUACGGAGGAUCCGAGCGUUAUCCGGAUUUAUUGGGUUUAAAGGGAGCGUAGGUGGAUUGUUAAGUCAGUUGUGAAAGUUUGCGGCUCAACCGUAAAAUUGCAGUUGAAACUGGCAGUCUUGAGUACAGUAGAGGUGGGCGGAAUUCGUGGUGUAGCGGUGAAAUGCUUAGAUAUCACGAAGAACUCCGAUUGCGAAGGCAGUUCACUGGACUGCAACUGACACUGAGGCUCGAAAGUGUGGGUAUCAAACAGGAUUAGAUACCCUAGUAGUC